rnacentral:snRNA from 1 species
UUGGGUUUUCUGUUGGCUGU